GCCCUACGGGAGCUGCAGUCGAGAAUCUUCGGCAAUGGGCGCAAGCCUGACCGAGCGACGCCGCGUGCGGGAUGAAGGCCCUCGGGUUGUAAACCGCUGUCAGUUGGGAGGAAAUCACAUGGGGUUCUCUCCAUGUGUUGACCUAUCUUCAGAGGAAGGACGGGCUAAGUUCGUGCCAGCAGCCGCGGUAAGACGAACCGUCCAAACGUUAUUCGGAAUUACUGGGCUUAAAGGGUGCGUAGGCGGCUUCGCAAGUUGGGGGUGAAAUCCCUCGGCUCAACCGAGGAAUGGCGCCCAAAACUGCGGAGCUCGAGGGAGACAGAGGUGAGUGGAACUUGUGGUGGAGCGGUGAAAUGCGUUGAUAUCACAAGGAACACCGGUGGCGAAAGCGGCUCACUGGGUCUUUUCUGACGCUGAGGCACGAAAGCUGGGGGAGCGAACGGGAUUAGAUACCCCAGUAGUC
rnacentral:rRNA from 1 species